AUUUAUAUAGUAUAAUUAUUACAUUUAAUUUCCAAUUAAAAAAUUUAUUAAAAUAAUAUAAAUA
rnacentral:tRNA from 1 species